NNNNNNNNNNNNNNNNNNNNNNNNNNNNNNNNNNNNNNNNNNNNNNNNNNNNNNNNNNNNNNNNNNCCCGCUCCCAGAGUAGGCCCCACGCCAGCCGCCGGACCCCUCCCACGUGGGGCCGGGGGGCGGGGGCCGUGCCGGCUGCUGGGGUGCUGUCUCCAUUACCCAUGCUUCCAGAGACCCAUCCCUGCAGAGCCCCUCGACGGAGGCUUGCUAAUGUCCGCGGGUGCAGACGUCGGGUUGCUAAAGUCUGGUGCAUCCCAGUGCCCGUGCAGCCCCGCGCGUGGUCCCUGAGCCCCCACCCCCCCCGCAGUGUACACAAUGCAGCCAGGCUGUGGGCGGAGCCUCCUCGGCUGUCCCCUGGACGGGCAAUAAAGGACAAGAUGCAUCCCACCACACCGACUGCGAGGUCUUUUGUUCCGGGUCGGAACACCCCUGCUUGUGCUCCCCCCGAACUCAUCUCUACGGGCUGCCCUAGAAGAGCAGGGCUGCUGCACGGCCCCUGGGACCUCGUGGUGGGCCGGGCGGGUAGUGGGCGCACUGUGGGCAUAGCCGAGAGAGCCUGCCGUGAGCCGGGGCCGGGGCAGGGUGCUGGCAGCGGGUUGGGUGCUGGCAGUGGGCUGGGACGGGGACUUGGAGCCACCCAGGCACCUGCCCUGCAGAGGCAGGAUCGGAAUCCGCGUGGACCCCGGGUUCUGGCCCGUCUGCUGGAUCAGAAGCCUGUCUCUGCGGCCCUGGCCUCUCUCGACCCCUGGCUUCUGACCAAAGCUUCGGAGCCCACCUGCCCUGCGGGAGCCCCCUACGCUGGCGCUCAGGGCUGGCCAGCGGCCCAAGGGACAGCAGAGUGGGACACCUGGGUCCUGCUGUCCCACACCCUGGGGUGCCCCUCCCUGUCCCCCCGUUCUCUCUGCUCCCGGGUGAGCCGACAGGCUGCGGCCGGCCCCUUACACGUCAGCAUCCUCGCUGGUGAAGAAGGUCCCCGGGCUCAGCCUGCUGCCCUGCCCAGACCUGCGAGGGUCCCGGGACGGUGCCAGCGAUGCACGCAGCCCUGCAAGGCGUCCACAGCCUCCCGGUCCCGUCUGUGCGUGAGCGGCACUGGCCCAAGCCAAGGCCCGGGGGCCGCCGUGGCUGCUGCCCGUGUCCCGCGCGGGAGCCCCGUAGGAGCAGAUACGCGCAGACCCCCCCUGCUCUCCAGGGCUGCCUGGGGGUUGGUGCUCUGGUCCUGGCCUCACCGCCACCUUGUCCCGGGCGGGUCAGCCCCGAGCUCGCAGGGCUCCGGGCUCCCGGCCACGCUGCGACGACAGGUGUGGAGGCCACCCAGCAGCCCAGGGGCCAUCACACCUCAGCGGCAGCCCGGGAGGCCUGCUCCUCAGCGGGAGACCUAGCUUGAUGAGGCUCAAGAGCCCCCCCACCCCCCCAGGAUGCCUCCACGUGGCUCCUUCUGUGGCCGCGGUGGACAGACUCUAACGUGGCCCUCCUGCCCCUGCCCCCUGGAGCCCACGCCGUGUGAUCCCGUCCCCUCGGGAGCGGGCACAGCCCGUCUUUGCUUGCACAAAGGUGACAUGCGUCCUUCUGUGAUUAUGUGACGGAUGUCUGUCGCAGCAUCCUCGCUGGCUGAUGAAGCAAGCUCCUCGGCCGUGGCAGGUCCUUCAGAGAAGCCCCUGUGCCAGGGCACAGAGGGGGGCCCAGCAGGACAAGCAGCCCUGGGUCACCCGGCCUGCGAGGGCCGAACGGAGCUGGUGGGACAGGUGAUGAGACCCCAGCCCCACUCACACCCCCACUGCAGCCUGCGGGGCGC
rnacentral:lncRNA from 12 species